AUUGAACGCUGGCGGCAGGCCUAACACAUGCAAGUCGAGCGGAUGAAGGGAGCUUGCUCCUGGAUUCAGCGGCGGACGGUUGAGUAAUGCCUAGGAAUCUGCCUGGUAGUGGGGGAUAACGUCCGGAAACGGGCGCUAAUACCGCAUACGUCCUGAGGGAGAAAGUGGGGGAUCUUCGGACCUCACGCUAUCAGAUGAGCCUAGGUCGGAUUAGCUAGUUGGUGGGGUAAAGGCCUACCAAGGCGACGAUCCGUAACUGGUCUGAGAGGAUGAUCAGUCACACUGGGACUGAGACACGGUCCAGACUCCUACGGGAGGCAGCAGUGGGGAAUAUUGGACAAUGGGCGAAAGCCUGAUCCAGCCAUGCCGCGUGUGUGAAGAAGGUCUUCGGAUUGUAAAGCACUUUAAGUUGGGAGGAAGGGCAGUAAGUUAAUACCUUGCUGUUUUGACGUUACCAACAGAAUAAGCACCGGCUAACUUCGUG
rnacentral:rRNA from 1 species